rnacentral:rRNA from 1 species
AGUCGAGCGGACUUAUUCGGAUAGCUUGCUAUUUGGAUAAGUUAGCGGCGGACGGGUGAGUAACACGUGGGUAAUCUGCCUCGUAGACUGGGAUAACAGGCCGAAAGGUUUGCUAAUACCGGAUGAGUUCAUGUUUAUGCAUAUUGACAUGAAGAAAGGGGAAACCCGCUAUGAGAUGAGCCCGCGCCCCAUUAGCUAGUUGGUAGGGUAAAAGCCUACCAAGGCGACGAUGGGUAGCCGGCCUGAGAGGGUGGACGGCCACACUGGGACUGAGACACGGCCCAGACUCCUACGGGGGGCAGCAGUAGGGAAUUUUCGGCAAUGGGCGAAAGCCUGACCGAGCGACGCCGCGUGAGGGACGAAGGCCUUCGGGUUGUAAACCUCUGUCUGGGGGGAUGAGAAUGGACGGUACCCCCGGAGGAAGCCCCGGCUAACUACGUGCCAGCAGCCGCGGUAAUACGCAGGG